CAGCCGCCACGGGAAUACGUAGGUGGCAAGCGUUGUCCGGAAUUAUUGGGCGUAAAGGGCUCGCAGGCGGUUUCUUAAGUCUGAUGUGAAAGCCCCCGGCUCAACCGGGGAGGGUCAUUGGAAACUGGGAAACUUGAGUGCAGAAGAGGAGAGUGGAAUUCCACGUGUAGCGGUGAAAUGCGUAGAGAUGUGGAGGAACACCAGUGGCGAAGGCGACUCUCUGGUCUGUAACUGACGCUGAGGAGCGAAAGCGUGGGGAGCGAACAGGAUUAGAUACCCCCGUAGUCCCUGUCUCUUAUAU
rnacentral:rRNA from 1 species